UGAGUAGGAGUGCUGGUGCAUGCCAUA
rnacentral:piRNA from 1 species